rnacentral:rRNA from 1 species
AGUGAACGCUGGCGGUAGGCCUAACACAUGCAAGUCGAACGGCAGCACAGUAAGAGCUUGCUCUUACGGGUGGCGAGUGGCGGACGGGUGAGGAAUACAUCGGAAUCUACUUUUUCGUGGGGGAUAACGUAGGGAAACUUACGCUAAUACCGCAUACGACCUACGUGUGAAAGCAGGGGAUCUUCGGACCUUGCGCGAUUGAAUGAGCCGAUGUCGGAUUAGCUAGUUGGCUGGGUAAAGGCCCACCAAGGCGACGAUCCGUAGCUGGUCUGAGAGGAUGAUCAGCCACACUGGAACUGAGACACGGUCCAGACUCCUACGGGAGGCAGCAGUGGGGAAUAUUGGACAAUGGGCGCAAGCCUGAUCCAGCCAUACCGCGUGGGUGAAGAAGGCCUUCGGGUUGUAAAGCCCUUUUGUUGGGAAAGAAAAGCAGCAGGUUAAUACCCCGCUGUUCUGACGGUACCCAAAGAAUAAGCACCGGCUAACUUCGUG